ensembl:lncRNA
CCCCAACGAUGAACGAAGCGGGGUUGGGCAGUGUCUUGUUGGCUGUGCCUGUGGGUGGCUGGACUCCCCAUAGGACGUCCAGAGUCAGUUGUCCUGAGACUCCCGGCAAGGAACCGAGCCCAAUGUGUUUGCAAGAUGUCCCAGCGCUCUGAGUUCUGUGCCUGGAAGGGCUUCCUGCCACCUCCGCCCUCCCAUCUCUCCCAAGGGUCACCCAGCCAGGCUGCCCAAUGUCACCGCCAUCCGCCGAGGGCUAGCACUUCAAGAGCCGGGGGCCGCAGCUGCUGGCGAGCCAGACGCUCACACAGACGCAAUAAACACCCAACCCAAACACAC